ensembl:lncRNA
UCGUUUAACUUUCUGAAAACGGAUGAAAUUAGGAAUCGGUGGUCACUGUUGAUUUAUAACGCUGUUCCUGAGCUGUACGACCCGAACGUUUGCGUGUGCAGAGCGCAUUUUACAGAGGACAGCUUCCUGAACCUGGCCGAGUACAACGCAGGCUACACACGAAGGCUACUCCUGAAAAAUGGGGCGGUUCCCACUUUGCUCGGGCAAUCUUGAGCUUCUGAAUCAGAACCUGUGAGUUUUGUGUUGUGUAGACCUCUGCUAACGUGCUAGCUAAAGUUUGCUAAGUUACCUCGGUUUUUAUGUUUGUUUGUAUGUUGGUGGUCUGUCAGGGACGUUGAUUGUAGCUGCUGUUGGGAUUGUAUCUUGAAACGGUUUAUAUCAAUCAAAUCACAAGAAUCCCAGCUUUCCAAAGAUAUAUCGCAUGAGUACCUACGUACACACAGAAGCUGUGUACAGCAUAGUUAGUCCCGCCUGGGGGGACAGAAUGUACAUCGUAUCUGAAAGGUGAGAGAAUUACAAAAUAAAAACUCCGCUGUGAAACGUUCUGCUCAAGCCGUGUUUGCAAAUACGGUCGAUCAUCCGCAUUUUCUGAAUCGGACUCGGGCUCGAACUGAUACGGUAAACCCGACGACAUGUUGCUUUGGACCUUAGAAUCGCUUUAGAAGCUUUGGAGGCUGAAGUUAGCGCAAGGGGGCGUUACAUUUCCGACACACGCUUGAGGUUUUUGGCCAAUCACAAAGCAACAGGUCAGCUGGCCAAUCAGAGCACUCUGGGCUUUUCAGAAGGUGGGGCUUUGGAGAAAUCGGAGCGUUUCAGGCAGCCUGGGAAUAGAGGAACUGCAAUACUGUACAGUAUGAGACAAAUAAUGUGUUUUUUGAACAUUAAAGCACGUUAACCUAUUCCAUUACACCCAAUAAACAACAUCAUUAAUGUUUAAAAAACGUUUAAAAAUCAUGAUAUGACCCCUUUAAUGUGUGUGUUCUCAUACAUUAUAGUAACGGUUCAUUCACAGAGAGUUCUACACUCCAUGUAAACGGAUUUUCCAAAAACAAAAAAGGAAUCGUUGAUAUGGAGAAGUUUUCUUCAAGUAAGGAGACAUGUAUGAAGGAGUCUCCAGUGUCAGCACUUUGUAACAGUUAGAGAUGCAAAAAAGACGCUGGUGAGUGGAUGGCUGCUAUAAUGCGGACAUUUCCAUUUUUCAACUCUUUUUCACGUGACACGUACCGUUCUCUGCCGAUGACGACGACGCACUAGAGAACAGUUGUGAAAACACGGACCGAAACGUAAAUAAGAUCAUCUCCUUCAAAGCCGAACUUAAUAACUGCCUUUUUUCUCGCUGAGAUAUCGACGUUACGAUUUGGGCGUGACGUCAGCAGCAGCGCCGCUAUAAAAGCCAUUUGGAUGACGUCAUCGGGAACUGUCAGUCAGGCGGUUGCUAUAGAAACUGAUGAGCGCAUGGUGCAAACAGAGCUUCUCACAUACACACACACACACACACAUAGAAACACGCAUACAAGCACAUGCACUCACACAUCGAGCUCCAUCAGCGCGCGCUCCAGGACGCAGGGUCACGGGAAACCUGGAGCCUAUCGCAGGGAGCAUCGGGCACAAGGCGGGGUACACCCUGGACAGGGUGCCAAUCCAUCGCAGGGCAAACCCUACAACAGUGUUUACUUAUCAGAAAGGGUUCCAAGUAGAACCAUUUUAGUGGGCUAGGAAGUCUUAAUUAUCAAAUGCACCCAUAAAGAACCCUUGAAGAGCCAUUGUGUCCAAAGAGUGCAAUGUUGGAAGCAAUUUCAUCAGUUUAACCCACUGAUGUCCGUGGAAGACGCCACCUCUAAAUAAUCGUUUCGUGUUUCAUCGAUACAGGUUCCUUACACCUUCUGGAGGAACCUCAUUGCACCUUAACCGAUGGCGACUGAAGAAAGCAACAGUGCAGAGUUCCAAGAGAAAACCGGCUUGAAGAGAAAACUAACAGGACCACCACGACUUCUACUGGGCAAAUCCAGGUCUCCAGGUCAAGAUGAGAAGAAAUCAAGAAAGCAUAGACGACACAACGACACGCCGCUGGACACGGCAGAAACCGAGCAAAGCGCUGAACUGCACGAGCUGACGAGUCCUGAAAGUCCUCAAACUGUCCUGACUUCAGAUCUUGAUGGAGGAACACGCACGGAUCUCCGGGACGAGUGUUCGGAAACAGCUUCAAAGUUGCAGCAGAACGUGAAGAAAAUUCGGAGAAGGAGCAAAGCUGGAGCGACCAUUAGACGGAUUUUCUCCUGUGUUAGGAGGAGAAAGGAUCUGGGAAUGAAAACUGUGGAGGAUGCUGAGGAAAACACGCAGCGCAGAGAACACCACAGCAUCCACGACGAGGAACUUCUGACCCAUUCAGGUGAUUCCUUGAAAGUGAAGCGUGAACAAGAGCCGGUGAAGAAGUUCAAGGUGCGAAUGUUGCGCAUCUUCAAAAAACGUUCAUCCAAAGGCAAGCAGGAACUUGAAGAACAUGGAGAAGAACGAUGUAAUGAUAUUUUCACUGAAAUAUCUUCAGAAACAACUGAUCGGCGUACAGCUGGUGCUGCAGAGCCGCCAGCUGUGGACGAACAGCAGAAUGGAUCAAGUGGGAUUGACGAGGAUGCAACCAGAAUCCAUGAGGAAACCUGCUUGGAAUCACAAGAUCCCAAAAGCGAGGUUCUGGAAGCGAUUUCCUUGAAUGUAGAGGUGAACGUUAACUCGAAUGCCGUGUUCGUUCAUGAAAACCACCAACAUCCACCCGAAUCUCACUUCCCAAGUCCUGUAGAUGAACAGGAGCCCAAGAUACAGACUAGCGAGGCUCUGCUAACAGGGCUUGCGGAGUCUAAUUCCGAUCCGGAAGAUCCCUGGAUGUCUCCAGAAGAUCCGGUUACAGAUGGCCCGGUAGUCGAUGCUCCAGUUGAAAAUGCGAGUGUUUUUAAAUGCAAACCCGUCAUCACGAUAGAAGACGUUCACUCGUCAGACGAAGAAAACCACGACUCGUUUGAAAACCCAGCUCCGCGAUACGGCACGCUGUCGCCGCUCGUCGCCCUUAACGGAUCCUGUUACACGUUAAAGACUCCGGACAGUCGGUUUUCCGAGAUCCUGCUCGCUCAGACGGCGCUGUCUUUGGUCCGCGCAGCUAUUAGCGGUGCCGUUGAAGAGCUUUCAGCCGAGCUGAGGAGCCGUCAGAUGGAUCGGGAUCAUGUCUAAUACUCUCACACACACACACACUAAUUCUUACAAAUUUCAGCCAAGAAUCAUGUUCCGUGCUGGUUCCACUGGGGCAGGACUCAGAUCUUCGGAGGAACAUCAGUGUGCUUUAUUUACUCCUCGCUGUUAGAUGAGUUAGCGUGGUAUAGUUUGCGUGCAUGGUUGCGCUGAGAGUAACAGAUACGUAUCAUGUAUUGAUUGACCUGUAAGUGUUCAGUGUUAUCUUGAUAUCAUAAAGAUCCUGAAUGCACUGGAGACUGGAAAAGUCUUCUAUUUAUGUCUAUGGCAGACAUGCAGAAAUAUUUGCAUUGGCAAGAUUGGACUAAUAUAUAUAUAUAUAGUAAAAAGAAAUAAACAUGUAACUAGUUUAAUUCCAUGACUUCUCCUGCAGUUGUACGGUAUUUUUAGCCUGAAUGUGACAUUAUCUCUCGUAUCACUGCAGCGUAAGCCUCGUUUCUAUAGCAAUGGAGAACCCACGUUUUCCACGUUCCUGCUACACAACAUGUUGUGUGGUCUUGAUUUUUUUUUUCUUCUCCCCACACCAGUCUUGUGGAAAUAAAAUGCCACCAUGAAGUCUCGAUCUGCUUUGUGUCACGAUGGAAAAGGAGAUCUUUGAAGAUAUUGUUUUAAAUAAAUGGAAAUGUAUGGUGAGAGCAGGCAGGGAAAGAAGCCAUUUAUCCUCCUGUGGAUUAUGUCUGUAUGUAAAUGUAAACCAUGCAGGCAAAUGCGUUACGCUCCGGAGCGCCUGCUCAAGGUCGGCCUCAACGUUCGCUCGGGACCGCGGGAGAUUUGGUUUCCGUCACAUGUAAUCGGUGAAGUCAGAAGAGCUCUUUGAGCAGCGGUGAUUAUCGGUGAAUCUGAGUGGAAAAGUUUCCAUUUUUCAAGCAAACUCUUCCCUCUAGUGGUAAAGCAGGAUGAAGAUACAACCUCAAACAAACAAACAAACAAACAAACAAACAAUCUAACUAACCAACACCCUUAAAAAGUCCCGUUUCUGUGGAAAUGCUCUUUCUUUCUGAGAAGAUCCCAAAAACAGCAGUGCCUAAUUUUACUCUGUUUAUUUUCAUUUAAAUAAACCACUGUGGAGCAAAACCCUCGCUAUCUCACACACACACACACACACACACACACACACACACACACAAGAUAAGAUGAUGAAAUCAGUAGAUUAAACAGUAUUGUUUUGUACAUCACAGUGCAAAAGUCUUAAGCACACGUAAAGAAAUGCUGUAAAUUAAAGAUGACUUCAAACAUGAUGAAAUGAAAUCUUUCUACUUGAGAGAAAUACAGGUGAUGAUGAA